UCGAACGCAAAUGUAAACAAUGGCCGCCACGAUGUACUGCGGGCUCGAUUUACAGUGUUUUGAUGCUAAUGAUGAGACUUUGAACAAUGAUGAAGAGCAUAUUGAGCCCAAAGAAAAGCGUAGACGGUUUAAACCAGUGGAUGAAGUCAAUGUGUCAGAUCUAGUAAAACGCAAAGACAGUCAAAACACUCAGAAUGUCAUUAAAAACGCCGUAUCUGUGCUACGUGAUUUCUGCAAAGAAACUGCGAAAACAUUACCGGAGAACAUUGUUGAAGUAACCGAACUCUGUUCAGUUCUUCAGGAAUUUUUUCUGUGUGCGAGAAAAAAGAAUAGCGAGGAAUACAAGUGUAAUGGCUUGAUUGGGAUUAGAUAUGGACUUCAGAGAUAUUUUCAAUGUAAACGCAAGUGGGACAUUAUUGACGACGGUGAGUUCAAGGAUGCCAACGUAGUUUUCAAAGCCAAAAUAAAAGACUUGAAAAGAAUAGGAAAAGGUGUUUAUCAUCAUCCUGCAAUAACGGAAGAAGACCUGCAGAAGUUGUACCAUAGUAGCUGCAUGUCAGCAAAUACUCCCAGUGGACUCCAGACAAAAGUGCAGUUUGAUAUACAACUGUAUCUUUGCAGAAGUGGGAGAGAGAAUCUCAGUAAAAUGACCGUAGACCACUUUGCAAUUAGUACCGAUGCUAGUGGACGGCGGUUUGUCUAUCAGCAAGUCGGUAAACUGGCCAAAAAUCACAAGACUGCGGAUGGUGCCAGGAGUGAAGGGCGAAUGUAUGAGAUACGAGGUGACCUCUUAUGCCCUGUUGCGUCAUUUGAGAAACUGCUGUCCAAGUUGAACCCAUAUUUGAACAGAUUAUGGCAAAAACCAAUGAAGGCGAAUAGCGUAACAGAGCUAUCCCCCAUGUGGUUCCAUAACCUUUGUCUUGGCAAGAAUUCUCUCGGGAUUCUGAUGAAGCGUAUUUCCGAAGAAGCCAAGUUAUCAGUCGUAUAUACCAAUGAUUCCAUCCGAGCUACAUCUGUGAUAUACUUGGAUCAAAAAGUUUUCAAAGACCGACAGAUCAUGUCAGUUGGUGUCCACCGUUCGGAGACAAAUACGCAAGCGUCUGCGGGAGAUGCUCCGACAGCCGACGACGAAGAGGAGAUGUCUGAUGGGUUAGAAUCAUUGGAAAAUUCCUGCAGCGUGCUCUCCCCUUCUACCGAGAGGCAGAUUCGAACACCGCUACUCGCAGCCGUGAUACUCCAACCAGCGGCGACGGCAGCCGCUGAGCGUCGGUCGACCGGCGACGCCCCCACGUCGUCGGCCAACGCCGUCGUCGUGCGAGAGGAGGACCGGCACAGACUAACGCGGGCGCGUAGCGUGGGCAAUGCCACCAUGCGCGUGGUGAUGCCGCGCUGCACGCACAACGCUCCCCCGUCGGCUGCUCGGUCGCCGCCGCCUCCACCGCCGCCGCCGUACACGGAACUGAUGGCGCUCGUCGUUCCCGGCGAAAUCCGCGGCAUGUCGGACGACGUCCUACGCCGGGCCGUCGCCUACCACAGGCGCGUGCAUGCGCAGGUCGAACUCACAUCGUGGCUGCUGGAGGAGGAGAAAGAGCGGCGCUGGCAGGCGCAGGACGAUAGGUGACGGCAUUAACGACCGGCCGUGCACGGAGAGGAAGAAGAGUUUGAUCCCUGGGUGGCUGAAGCGGAUGGCGUAGGGGAGAAAAGAGAGGAAACCGUGACAGCUCGGGAUGCCUGCUCCCCGGGGAGGAGGUGAGAGGACAUGGUGACAGCUCGGGAUGCCUGCUCCCCGGGGAGGAGGUGAGAGGACAUGGUGACAGCUCGGGAUGCCUGCUCCCCGGGGAGGAGGUGGGAGGAUACUGUGGUACCUCGGGACGGACGUGCCCCAGCGUAGAGGAGGCCGAGGGGAUUCGAGGAAAGAGUCCUAGCAGUAGACCUACAUUCUAUCGUUCAUCUGGGUUAAUAUAUAUACAUGUGCUGCUGUAUAUAACAUAUAUACAUGGGUAUAUAAUAUAUACUGCUGUAUGUAUACUGCUGUAUGUAUAUAACAUAUAUACAUGGGCAUCCGGUUACGAAAUGUGUGUGGCGAGUAAAAGCUGUGCGAUUUCACAUUGGCGGACUUAUCAAAAAUUGGAAAUUUACUGUGUGCGGAAUUUUCCGUGCAUGUAGAUUUUUUGGAGUGUGUUCUCUACAAGCAGACCUGCCAGGUGCAUUGAAUUCAUAAAGUGACAAUGUAUCUAGGCAAGUAAGUCCACGUGUGUGUGUAUCUAUGGUUAUUUAUUUAUUACAUUCCAUACAAGUUUCCUGUUAGUGUUGUACCGUAGUAUGUAAUACCCUAGUGUGUAUGCAUUGAAUGUGUACGUAUCAGGGGUUAAUAAUGACAAAUUUGUCAUUAUUAACCCCUGGUACGUAUGUAUGUUUCCACUCUGUUUGCGUCCCCGUCAAAUAAAGAGUUUAUACUUCAUCCUAAGUGCAAUUUUGAUUGAGUUGUUGACCCCUGGGGGCUAUUUAUGUUCACUUCGCAUGAGAUGUGGUUUUAGAUAACAUUUAUUAUCCCUUCUUUAAAGAGGGCCCAGUUUCAGAUAGCAUUGUGCAGUGCCUGGUUGAAGUGACUAGAAUUCAAAACGAGUUUAAUUCACUUGCUUGAACUUUCUCCCAGUCUACGUUGAUGUACUGUGAAGCAUAUUGAACUGUUCAACUGGUUCGAGUUGCACCCGUGAGAAUGAUUGAUGAUUGUCAAUAUCUGGCAGCUGUAUUUAACUUUGCUUUAAGAAAAGUUGUGUAAAGUGAAUAAAAUUAUUGAUGUUUUUAA